rnacentral:rRNA from 1 species
CCUCUAAAAAACUGGGCAAAGUUCCGGAACGGCGCAAGCGGAGAGGUGCUUGCACCUUUCAAGCGAGUGGCGAACGGGUGAGUAACACGUGGAUAACCUGCCUCAAGGCUGGGGAUAACAUUUGGAAACAGAUGCUAAUACCGAAUAAAACUUAGUAUCGCAUGAUAUCAAGUUAAAAGGCGCUACGGCGUCACCUAGAGAUGGAUCCGCGGUGCAUUAGUUAGUUGGUGGGGUAAAGGCUUACCAAGACGAUGAUGCAUAGCCGAGUUGAGAGACUGAUCGGCCACAUUGGGACUGAGACACGGCCCAAACUCCUACGGGAGGCUGCAGUAGGGAAUCUUCCACAAUGGGCGCAAGCCUGAUGGAGCAACGCCGCGUGUGUGAUGAAGGCUUUCGGGUCGUAAAGCACUGUUGUAUGGGAAGAAAUGCUAAAAUAGGGAAUGAUUUUAGUUUGACGGUACCAUACCAGAAAGGGACGGCUAAAUACGUGCCAGCAGCCGCGGUAAUACGUAUGUCCCGAGCGUUAUCCGGAUUUAUUGGGCGUAAAGCGAGCGCAGACGGUUGAUUAAGUCUGAUGUGAAAGCCCGGAGCUCAACUCCGGAAUGGCAUUGGAAACUGGUUAACUUGAGUGUUGUAGAGGUAAGUGGAACUCCAUGUGUAGCGGUGGAAUGCGUAGAUAUAUGGAAGAACACCAGUGGCGAAGGCGGCUUACUGGACAACAACUGACGUUGAGGCUCGAAAGUGUGGGUAGCAAACAGGAUUAGAUACCCUGGUAGUCCACACCGUAAACGAUGAAUACUAGGUGUUAGGAGGUUUCCGCCUCUUAGUGCCGAAGCUAACGCAUUAAGUAUUCCGCCUGGGGAGUACGACCGCAAGGUUGAAACUCAAAGGAAUUGACGGGGACCCGCACAAGCGGUGGAGCAUGUGGUUUAAUUCGAAGCAACGCGAAGAACCUUACCAGGUCUUGACAUCCUUUGAAGCUUUUAGAGAUAGAAGUGUUCUCUUCGGAGACAAAGUGACAGGUGGUGCAUGGUCGUCGUCAGCUCGUGUCGUGAGAUGUUGGGUUAAGUCCCGCAACGAGCGCAACCCUUAUUGUUAGUUGCCAGCAUUCAGUUGGGCACUCUAGCGAGACUGCCGGUGACAAACCGGAGGAAGGCGGGGACGACGUCAGAUCAUCAUGCCCCUUAUGACCUGGGCUACACACGUGCUACAAUGGCGUAUACAACGAGUUGCCAACCUGCGAAGGUGAGCUAAUCUCUUAAAGUACGUCUCAGUUCGGACUGCAGUCUGCAACUCGACUGCACGAAGUCGGAAUCGCUAGUAAUCGCGGAUCAGCACGCCGCGGUGAAUACGUUCCCGGGUCUUGUACACACCGCCCGUCACACCAUGGGAGUUUGUAAUGCCCAAAGCCGGUGGCCUAACCUUCGGGACCAGCCAGCAAGUCUUAAUCCUAUAUCCCGCCU